rnacentral:rRNA from 1 species
AUGAACGCUGGCGGCGUGCCUAAUACAUGCAAGUCGAGCGAACAGACGAGGAGCUUGCUCCUCUGACGUUAGCGGCGGACGGGUGAGUAACACGUGGAUAACCUACCUAUAAGACUGGGAUAACUUCGGGAAACCGGAGCUAAUACCGGAUAAUAUAUUGAACCGCAUGGUUCAAUAGUGAAAGACGGUUUUGCUGUCACUUAUAGAUGGAUCCGCGCCGCAUUAGCUAGUUGGUAAGGUAACGGCUUACCAAGGCAACGAUGCGUAGCCGACCUGAGAGGGUGAUCGGCCACACUGGAACUGAGACACGGUCCAGACUCCUACGGGAGGCAGCAGUAGGGAAUCUUCCGCAAUGGGCGAAAGCUUGACGGAGCAACGCCGCGUGAGUGAUGAAGGUCUUCGGAUCGUAAAACUCUGUUAUUAGGGAAGAACAAAUGUGUAAGUAACUAUGCACGCCUUGACGGUACCUAAUCAGAAAGCCACGGCUAACUACGU